rnacentral:rRNA from 1 species
AUUGAACGCUGGCGGCAUGCCUUACACAUGCAAGUCGAACGGCAGCGCGGGGCAACCUGGCGGCGAGUGGCGAACGGGUGAGUAAAAUAUCGGAACAUACCCUAGAGUGGGGGAUAACGUAGCGAAAGUUACGCUAAUACCGCAUACGCACUAAGGUGAAAGGGGGGAGUCUUCGGACCUCAUGCUCAUGGAGUGGCCGAUAUCUGAUUAGCUAGUUGGUGAGGUAAGGCUCACCAAGGCGACGAUCAGUAGCUGGUUUGAGAGAACGACCAGCCACACUGGAACUGAGACACGGUCCAGACUCCUACGGGAGGCAGCAGUGGGG